UAUCAGCCCCACUAACAAAUAAAGGCAAAAAAAACCUUUAACCCACUAGUUAAAGCAGAUAAUGAGUGUAAAACACUUAACUCGAGUGAGCUGGAAUGAGAGAAAGUAUAACCUUUUCUAUGUAAAUAUUGAACUUUUCAAAGCUACCCCACUAUGGUCGACUCAUUAUCAAAGAGUAUCUUGCCAAAAUGCAAAGUGAAAAAAUGAAAUUCAUUUAGAGUUUUCUCCAAGACCAUGCCAAACAUAGCUAUGAAACUCCAAAGUUUGCCCUCCAAAUACUUGAAUUUCUUAUUGUAUGGGAGACUUAUUAUGUCAACACUCAAAAAGUUUGCCCAAGAAUUGAUACUCUUUGUCAAGAAAUUCCACUAGAAUAUACAGAUUGCAAGUGCCAUUUCAUUUACAGUAUUGCAAGAGUUAGCUUUGAUAUGGGAUUAUACAAAUCAACAAAACUAAAAUUCAAAGAGAAACCACUAUAUUAACUCCACAAUUAUUAGAUUUUUGUUUUCUUAACCAAGUUAUUGGUAGAGAUCCAAAUCAGAUAGAUGCAUUUGGAAGGAGGGUAGGAUCAACCAUGCUUAAUCUAAUGGCAACGGGAAAAUAGUUCAUGUUAGCUUAUGUUCAAUUAAAAGUACCAUAAUGGCAAUUCAAAGAAGAAGUAUACUAUGAAUUUCAAGCACAACAUUCCAUUUUCCUCAAGGGAUCUAAUACCAUUAGUGAACUUGACGACUUGGAAGGCUCUAAUAUUGCUUAAUAAUUCUUUAGCUAAGCAUAUUAGACAUUGGAGAAGCAGAUUAAUAGUAAGGGAAUUUAAGAUUAGAGAAUUCAUUGAUUAUCCAAAACUAAUCGCUGAAGACUUUAAUAAUAUAUAUAUAUAUAUAUAUAUAUAUAUAUAUAUAUAUAUAUAUAUAUAUAUACAUAUUCUUGCUAGAAUAUACUUAAAGCCCCUUUUAUCUCAAAGACCACAAAUAAUUAGCUUAUAGAUUUCUAUUGAAAGCAAUAUUAAGAAGAUAUUAAAACUUAUAGAUCUCUCAUGACAAAUCAGUCAAGCAAAGAAGAAGAAGAUCAUAGUAGAGACUUUUACAGUAACCUAGAUGACAUUGAGGCCUACAAGCUUGACAACAUACUAGAACCAUAACUCAGCAGUGGUCCACUCUCCAAUAGUCACCCUUCAUUCACUAUAUUUUUCAAAGCACAACUUUUAAAAAGGAAAAAGUGUGGUGAUAAUUCUAUCGACACUCCCUUUAGUCACAUGAAGUAUAUUAGUUCACACGCAUAGAAAGUAGAAAAUAAGAAAGUAGCAGAAGAUAAGGAUAUGCAGGUAGGAAGAACUCUAUAAAUAGAAAGAGUCACCUGAUCAUUGAUAGAGCAAUAAAAAAAGGAAGCAUAUUAGAAAAUCAUCACAAAAUAUAGAAAGUCAUCUUGAAGCAAACUUCAAUCCGUAAAAGCUCUUAAAGCUUUUGUUUGACUUCUCAUUAUAUUAGAAGAUACUUUAAGUAAAUAAUUUAUUCAGCAUGUAUUGUAGCCAAGUUGCUUAGUUCUUCU
rnacentral:lncRNA from 1 species